CCCUUAGAUGUUCUGGGCCGCACACGCGCUACACUGAAGGAGGCAGCGUGUACUCCUGUAUCGAAAGAUUUGGGUAACCCGCGAAUCUCCUUCGUGCUAGGGAUUGAGGUUUGCAAUUAUCCUUCAUGAACGAGGAAUUCCCAGUAAGUGCAAGUCAUAAGCUUGCGCUGACUACGUCCCUGCCCUUUGUACACACCGCCCGUCGCUACUACCGAUUGAAUGAUUUAGUGAGGACUUCGGACUGGGACCGAUGCGGCUUUCGGGCUGCGUCGGUAUUCUGGAAAGAUGUCCAAACUGUAUCAUUUAGAGGAAGUAAAAGUCGUAACA
rnacentral:rRNA from 1 species